rnacentral:rRNA from 1 species
UACGUAGGGGGCUAGCGUUGUCCGGAAUCAUUGGGCGUAAAGCGCGUGUAGGCGGUCCGGUAAGUCCGCUGUGAAAGUCGAGGGCUCAACCCUCGAAUGCCGGUGGAUACUGUCGGGCUUGAGUACGGGAGAGGCGAGUGGAAUUCCUGGUGUAGCGGUGAAAUGCGCAGAUAUCAGGAGGAACACCAAUGGCGAAGGCAGCUCACUGGGACGGUAUUGACGCUGAGACGCGAAAGCGUGGGUAGCAAACAGG